CUUGUUAAUUAUAAAUAUUAAAACGGAAAAAAAAAAAAAAAAAGAAAAAAAGACAAUGGACGUUUGUUGUCUACAUUGUUUACCGGGUCUAGUUAUACCUGCGUUUCGGAGUGUUUCCUUGUCGUUUCCUCUGUCGAGCGUAAUAUUAUAUUAUACAUUUUGUCGGCGAGCGAUAGAAAAUAAUAAUAAUCGGCAAAGUAUAAUGCACACACACACACACACGAAUAAUAUUGUAAUGUUCAUUAGUGUUAAUAAUAUAUUGUUUUAUACGCAGGUAUGUACGUGUGUAUCGCUGAACGUUGUUAGAGUAUUUGCGGUGCAACGCGCAGUGCGACACCGCGUGUCGUGAACCCCUGGGAAGGACACUGACGCAACUAAAAACAAAUGCGAUUUUCGAGUUAUCGCCGUCGAGCAAUGCAGAAUGCCGUCCUUUAUAAUUUAGCGUUCUCGAGUUUUUUUUCAAUUAUUCAAUGCUGUGAUGAAAACCGCACGAAUUCAAAUGUCUUUACAUCUGCUUAUCAACAAAUAACAAUAGUUUCCGGCCCGAAUAUUGGACACUUACUGACGUUAUUCCAGCCCGAAGAACGUCGUCACGAUGUCGCGUCGACCGAGAGUUGUGAACGCGUAUUGAAACGCGUAUUAUGAUUAUUUACGUCCGCCAAGUAUAGUGUGUCGUAUUCUCAUCGGAAAAGGACAAAACGUAAACGGCAAACUGAUUCCCGGUCGUUUUCGUUAAAAAAUAACGUUUGUUCGGUACGUUCCCCGCGGGGGGUAUUUUCCCAUGCUUUCUAAUUGGGUCAAAUAAAUAAAUAUUUAGACGCACUCGUAAUAAUAAUAAUAUUAUCAUCGUUAUUGUAAUUUUUUCGGUUGAUUUAUUCAAACGACCUUCACACUCACUCGCGCGGUAUACGAGACCGAAUAAAUAAAUAAAUAUGUGUAUAUAUAUAUAUAUAUAUUGUAACGUUUUCGGAAUACAUUAAAAAAAAAAAAAAAAAACGACGACGACGACGACAAUAUAAUAUAAAGUAUAAUAAUAUGUAAUAAUAAUCGUUUUUUUUUUUUUCUACUCGAUUUCGUUUGUUUUUUUUUUUUUUUUUUUUUUUUUUUUGGUUUCUUUUUAUUAUUUUUUCACCGCCCUUCGCGCACCACCCCGAAUCAUACUCGACCGCAAAUGUAUAAAAUAACAUCGAGAGCGUGUCCAGAGGAAGGGGUAGUUUCGUUGUUGUGACGCGAACGGCGACGGCACGCGAACUGUGACCGCAAAUCGCUUUUAUAAAAAAAAAGAAAAUACUAAAAAAAAUAUUAUUGUUAUUUUGCGAAAAUUUACCGGCGGGCGGGCGCGUAAGAACGACGGGUUCAGGGCCCUCAAAGCCCUCCCGUUACCUUUCGAUUUUUAGACCGUUGACGGUCCAUAUAAAUAUUAUACGUAUAUGAAUAUAUACGUAGGUGCCAAUCGGUUUUAUCGAAUCGAAAGCAAGUCUGCUUCUUCAUUAUGCGUUUACUUUAUUCGUUCAUUUUUUUUUUUUUCCAUUAUUUCGUUUUUCCUAGCCCCGAACCCGCGAAGAAAUCCCGCGCGCCAGCCUGUUCGUCCGUAUCGGUCUCCGGAAAAACAAAACGAAAAAACCACCCCUUCCCACGCGGAGACCGCGGCGACAGUUGAAAACGCGAUUUUUACAGCGGCUGUACACCGCGACAGAGUGACCGCACACGCACACGCACAUAAAUAAUGUGCCGUACACGCAUGCACGCAAACGCACACGUUUGCAAACGCAUUACACACACAUGCGCGCGGUUAUAAUAUGCACGACGACGUGACGCAUUGCGAUGCGCGUACAGAGCGGUGCGUUUAUCGCGGACCGAUACAGCGGCGGCGCGUACGCAGAUU
rnacentral:lncRNA from 1 species